UUAAAGGACUGCAGCUAUAAUUUUUUUGUCGUUGCAUGCAUUAGUGUCAAGUCUCCCGUUACACUCUGUUAGCGCCUGGGAAGACAGGCGGCAAGUUCUCGACGCGGAUCUCGAGCAGCAGGGCCUCCCUCGGCCGCCCACCCCCGGGGCCCUGCAGGGGCGGAGGGGGCCGGCUGCCACCCGCCGGGCUCAGCCCGCCCUCUGCCAGCGCCGGAGCGCUCCCGGCGGCCGCGCAGCCCCGGCUCCGCUUCCAGCGGGCACGGGAGGCACAGAAAAACCCCCACGCCACCGAGCCCGGCCACUCAAGGGCCGCCCAAGUUUCUCUCUCUGGGGGAAGGCGGUCUCACCGCCGAGGAGCAGGCUGCCCGCCGCGAGGUGCCCGGAGAGCAGGACUCGGACGGCGGCGGGGCCCCCUCACGGCUCCCCCGGCGCGGCGGGGGCCGCGGGCGCUCCGUGGGGAGGCGCCGCCCCCCGCCCCCGGGGGCCCUGCCCGGAUGGGCGCCGGAGUUGGUUCCGGCUUCCCCUCCUCGACUGAAAUCAACCGCAGUCUUUCUCCAUCGCUACUGUUCUGCCUUUUUCAACGCGGGGGUUUGUUUUGCCGUGUAAAUCCAUUCAUGCUCCAGAUGCAAGCAUGCUGUUGUAUCAGGUCUCCUCGUUACAUUGGCCUGCUAAAUCACUAGCAAGACAAACCAGUGCCGCCGAGAGAAGCACUCCAUUACAAGGUGUCUUUAGUCAUUAAUGGAUGAUGGAAGCAACCCCCUGCAGCUUCCCUGUUUACCAUCCAUCCAGAAGGAGAAAACAGAGACUUGCAGGAUAAUUCAGGUUGAAAGGAAUCUCAGGAGGACGUCAAGUAAAACCCUCUGUUGCAGAGAGUUUACUUUACUUUCCCCUCUACAGCAGGCAGCUGAAGACUUUGUCAAGUUCAGAAUGUCUCUGCAAACACAGAUUCCAUCAUCUUCCCAGGCACCCUUUGCUGGUCGUUCCCUGCAUAUGCAUAAGCUCAGUUCUAAAACUGUUCCCACCCUAUUUCCACAGUCACUCCAGUUUCUUUAAAUUUGCAGCUAGGAGACAGCAACAACAAUUCCAUGAGAGCAGUAGGAGCCUGGUAACGGGCAGAGAGGAAGUCCAGCAGACUUGAAGAGGUAAUUUCCCCUGGAUUUAUGGAAAGGGGAGAAGCAAUCCUGUUGAUACUUAAUUUAUAGUUAUCUACAACUAAUGAGCACUAAGAAGGAAAAGCAAAAUUUUAGCAGUGAGACAGCAAGAGAAAGAACUGGUAGAGCCAAAAACUUAUUUGCAGAUGCCCUUUUUCCUCAAUUGAGCUAAAUUCAGGUUCAACUCAAACAUUGCACCUCAGGGUGAAAUAAUUCAGAAAAGUUGCUGAUGGGUAGAAGAGUCCAGUUGGUGUCUUUCUUCACUCCCUCAGUAUUUUCUGUGUCAAUACAGGUUUUUUUCUGUUCUCUUUCUGUCACUGCAAGUCUUAUCGGGUCUCUGGACAGUGGCAGGUUGUAGGUGAAAUUCCCAAAACCUGAGAAUAGCAGCAAGUUGUUUUUCUACUAUGUAUAUACUCAUCCCUCUGUGUCUGUGUGACACUUUCUCUGUAACACAAUUUAUGUUCAGGCUGGCUGGCCUGCUGCUACAGCUUUCAGUUAAAAAGCACAGGAAUUAUUGGGUAGCUUUAUCUUUCUGCAGCUGUCGUCUUUUUCCAUCAUACCUGACCUGCUAGUGUUGAAAGAUGCCUCUUGUCUGAAAAGCUCUGAUACUAACAAGAGAAACACUGAUCUGUAGGAUUUCAGAGGAAAAAGGCAAAAAUGCUCCUGUCCAAUAUGUGGUGAAAACUUCUGUACCACCGAUGUAGGCUCUGCUAGAAAAGCCGUGUUUUGACCAUAUUUGUGGUUGUCAUAAAAAUUAGUUUAUAUCUUAA